rnacentral:rRNA from 1 species
AUUGAACGCUGGCGGCAGGCCUAACACAUGCAAGUCGAACGAGUGGCGGACGGGCGAGCAAGGUCUGGGCAAGUGCGCGAUGGAGGGGGAUAACUACGGGAAACAGUAGCUACUACCGCAAACCAUCGGAUGUGCCCAGAUGGGAUUAGCUAGUAGGGGGGGUAACGGCUCACAUAGGCGACGCUCCCUAGCUGGUCUGAGAGGCUGACCAGCCACACUGGAACUGAGACACGGUCCAGACUCCUACGGGAGGCAGCAGUGGGGAAUAUUGCACAAUGGGCUCAAGCCUGAUGCAGCCAUGCCGCGUGUGUGAAGAAGGCCUUCGGGUUGUAAAGUACUUUCAGCGGGGAGGCGUUACUCGCAGAAGAAGCACCGGCUAACUCCGUGCCAGCAGCCGCGGUAAUUC